UUUACAACCGUUCAUGUCAGCAACAUACACUAGUUAUACUUCAACCGAUGAAAAUAAUUUUAGACCUUUAAAAAAGAAAUCCCUCAAUAACUUUGUUGCAUAACACAGUACUUCAUCAUCUGAUUCUGAUUGAACAUCUGUUUCCUUCUGUUUUUGUUUCAGUCUCUUUACAGCCAGUCACUUCCACAACAUUUAUUAGUUCUACUUCUACAGCUCCUUUACACACAGUCACUUCCACAACAUCUACCAGUCCCACUACAACAGUUCCUUUACCACAAAUCACGUCCACAGCAUUUACAGGUCAUACUUCUACAG